rnacentral:rRNA from 1 species
AUUGAACGCUGGCGGCAUGCUUUACACAUGCAAGUCGAACGGUAACAGGCCUUCGGGUGCUGACGAGUGGCGAACGGGUGAGUAAUGCAUCGGAACGUACCCAGAGGUGGGGGAUAACGCAGCGAAAGCUGUGCUAAUACCGCAUGUGAUCUGAGGAUGAAAGCGGGGGACCGAGCAGCAAUGUUUGGCCUCGCGCCUUUGGAGCGGCCGAUGUCGGAUUAGCUAGUUGGUGGGGUAAAGGCCUACCAAGGCGACGAUCCGUAGCUGGUCUGAGAGGACGACCAGCCACACUGGGACUGAGACACGGCCCAGACGCCUACGGGAGGCAGCAGUGGGGAAUGUUGGACAAUGGGCGCAAGCCUGAUCCAGCAAUGCCGCGUGCGGGAAGAAGGCCUUCGGGUUGUAAACCGCUUUUGGCAGGAACGAAACGGUGUCCGCUAAUACCGGGCGCUAAUGACGGUACCUGCAGAAUAAGCACCGGCUAACUACGUG